UUGGUUGUGAAGGACUGUGAACGGG
rnacentral:piRNA from 1 species